rnacentral:lncRNA from 1 species
AAGAUUUGAUUCGAUUUUAUCGAUGUGAGUAUGGUGUAGCCCCGAAGGAAGUUCUGGAAACUUUUCCAAUAUGUGUUUUCUGCCACAUUUCUCAGAGGUUACAUACAUGUAUUUCUUUCCAUCCUCAGUUGUAGACUGAGUAUCAUAUCCGUGAAGAUAUAUGUCUUUAAAACUCAACAAAUUCCUUUUAGAACUUGGAGAAUA